UACGAAGGGGGGCUAGCGUUGCUCGGAAUCACUGGGCGUAAAGCGCACGUAGGCGGAUCUUUAAGUCAGAGGUGAAAUCCCAAAGGCUCAACCUUGGAACUGCCUUUGAUACUGGGGAUCUCGAGUCCGGAAGAGGUGAGUGGAACUGCGAGUGUAGAGGUGAAAUUCGUAGAUAUUCGCAAGAACACCAGUGGCGAAGGCGGACUCACUGGUCCGGUACUGACGCUGAGGUGCGGAAAGCGUGGGGAGCAACAGGGAUUAAGAUACCC
rnacentral:rRNA from 1 species